rnacentral:rRNA from 1 species
GAUGAAUGCUGGCGGCGUGCCUAAUACAUGCAAGUCGAGCGAACGGACGAGAAGCUUGCUUCUCUGAUGUUAGCGGCGGACGGGUGAGUAACACGUGGAUAACCUACCUAUAAGACUGGGAUAACUUCGGGAAACCGGAGCUAAUACCGGAUAAUAUUUUGAACCGCAUGGUUCAAAAGUAAAAGACGGUCUUGCUGUCACUUAUAGAUGGAUCCGCGCUGCAUUAGCUAGUUGGUAAGGUAACGGCUUACCAAGGCAACGAUGCAUAGCCGACCUGAGAGGGUGAUCGGCCACACUGGAACUGAGACACGGUCCAGACUCCUACGGGAGGCAGCAGUAGGGAAUCUUCCGCAAUGGGCGAAAGCCUGACGGAGCAACGCCGCGUGAGUGAUGAAGGUCUUCGGAUCGUAAAACUCUGUUAUUAGGGAAGAACAUAUGUGUAAGUAACUGUGCACAUCUGGACGGUACCUAAUCAGAAAGCCACGGCUAACUACGU